rnacentral:rRNA from 1 species
GACUAACGCUGGCGGCAUGCCUAACACAUGCAAGUCGAACGCAGGGUUCGGGUUCGCCCGGGCUCUGAGUGGCGCACGGGUGAGUAGCGCGUGGGAACCAGCCUUUCAGUGGGGGAUAACCGCGGGAAACUGCGGCUAAUACCGCAUACGUCCGAUGCCUGGUCUUUGGAUUUGGCAUCGGGGAAAGAUUUAUCGGCUAG